rnacentral:lncRNA from 1 species
GAGAAAACAACAAAAAAAGGAUAACUAACAAAAGCCCCAUUCUCCAGCUCUUGCCCCGGCCAGCGCUUCAGCACGCCUUGUCUCACCCCUGAAGGAAGAGCUUCAUCCCUUUCCAGUGAAGCCUGCUUGCCCUGUAUGAUGCAGGGUCAAAGUAUGAGGUGCUCCUCAACUACCCAAUCCACCGGUGCAUCAUGAGUCCUCAACAUCCAUGUAAACCACUUUUCCUAUAAAGAGCAGAUGCAUGAGAACAAACCCAUUUGAAAGGAACACUUUGGCUUCAUGGUUCUCAUAGAAUUCUAAUGAGGAAUGGGUCAUUUUCUGGCACUAGUCUCUUAGUUUGUUGAAGAAAGGAUGUAUGUCCGAUUCCUCUGCAGUUUCCUGAAAUUCUGGAUACAUAAUGUUACAUAAAUUGUGAAAAUUCUAACAAGGAGCAAACAGCAAAGAACUGAAAUGCUAUACAGACUCCAGUGAGAAAAAACUGAGGUAAUUGGUUUCGGUGUGCUGGUGCUUGAAACUCUAUCCCAGUGCUUCCUUCAACUAAGGCUGCAAAUUGAAAAUGUGAAGAACCUUGCCUGCUUGAACCAGCCUGGGCUUGUGGCAGCAUCAUUCUGUCACUUAAUUCUUCUCACAGAGAUCACAUAGCUUUGCUUCCAUACCUAAAUUACUACAAAUUUGUGUCCGCUUGAAUGUUAUGUAAUUUAACCAGAAAUUGAAGAAAUACCACCAUUUUAAAGAAAAUAUGGUCAUAAACACUAUGGAAUACUAUGCAACCAUAACAAGAAUGAAAUCAUGUCCUUUGCAGCAACAUGGAUGUAGCUGGAGGCCAUUAUCCUGGGCAAAUUUGCAGGAGCAGAAAACCAGAUACCACAUCUCACAUGUAAGUGGGAGCUAAGCAUUUGGUAUACAUGGAUAUAAAGAUGGGAAAAAUAGACACUUGGUGACUAUUAGAGAGAGGAAAGAGGGAGAAGGGAGAAGCUAAAAACUACCUGUUGGGUAUUAUGCUCACUACUUGGGUGAUGGGAUCGUUUGUACCCCAAGCCUCAGCAUCACACGGUAUACCCAUGUAACAAACCUGCACACGGA